rnacentral:rRNA from 1 species
GAUCCUGGCUCAGGACGAACGCUGGCGGCGUGCCUAAUACAUGCAAGUAGAACGCUGAAGAGAGGAGCUUGCUCUUCUUGGAUGAGUUGCGAACGGGUGAGUAACGCGUAGGUAACCUGCCUUGUAGCGGGGGAUAACUAUUGGAAACGAUAGCUAAUACCGCAUAACAAUGAAUGACUCAUGUCAUUUAUUUGAAAGGGGCAAUUGCUCCACUACAAGAUGGACCUGCGUUG